CAAGCGUCUAAUGCUUCAUAGUGAUUUUAAUUCCAGCAGCAUGGGAUGGGAACAGAGCACAGGGCAGUGAGUUUAUCUCCCUCAGAGACAGAUGACACCCAACCCUUCUUCAUUUCUGAGGACAGCGUGGUUGGCAGAGGAGCACCCAGAAGGGCACAGCUGGUAUUUUCAGAGGGUUUCCUCUGGACUUGGUCUGUCUUCUGCAGUGGGGAACCAUGAAGGCGCCUACCUUAACGCCCAGGAGGGGUGCAGACAGGGUGGACUCUGUCCAGAGGGGCUCCCAGGCCAAG
rnacentral:lncRNA from 1 species